GGGACCGGACUGGGGGACGCUGAGGGUUGCCCUGGGAACCUCUGGGAGGCCUCUCCAGAGGGGAGGGCCCCGGACCUGGACCAAGGAAGAGUGGUGGUGGUGAAGAAGUUGGAGAAUAUCACAGCGACAACCACAGUUCAGAAAUUACCUAUUCUCUUUCUGCCUAUUGAGGAGACAAAAUUCCAAAGCCUGGACUGUACCUGACUGACAGGUGGAAGCAGAUAAUUCUGAGCCCCAGGGAAUAAUGGAGGCAUAAGAUUAACAAGUAUGCUGUGUGAGUCACCAGAUGGAGGACAGCUGCCAACCAAGCAGGACACCUGUGGCAAGAAAUUAACUAUUGUAUGAAGUCACUGAAAUCAAGAGAGUUCUUUGUUACAGUAGCUGACAUUAUAUGCACUGAUACUCCAACCCUUCCUCUCUGGUCCCCUGACAGCAGUAAACCUUGGGCACCCCCCUAUCAUUCAGUGAAAUGAGCCUCUAAUCCCCAGUUGUGAUGUUCACGCUUUCACAUAGCAGUUUCAUACAGUGGCCCAAAGGCUCUAUGUUUACUAAUUAAAAGUUAUCAGUAUA